rnacentral:lncRNA from 1 species
AUCCACUAGACCCACGGAGACUGCGGUGGUCGGGCUUUGGCCCUCUGUCCCUUGUAGCCGUGGGGUUACGGGGACCUGCCUCUCCAGCUCUGACUCUGGACGGAUCCUGGAGCAGGAACUCAGGCAGGGGACUCGCCAUCAGCCCUGCUGCCCAGGGAAGGAGGGACUGGCCCUUUAACUCCCAAUCUCAGCCUCAGGGACACUCGGAUGGCCCAGUGGUUCUAUUGCUGGCAGUCCGUCCUGCAGACACUCCAGACACGCGUGGAAAACAUCCAUUGCAGCCUGAUGUGAACUAUCAAAGGACUGGAAACAGCCUAAAUGGUCAUCAGCAGAGAACUGGAUGGACAAGAUGUGAUUCUGCCCACUCACACUGCCAACUACAAUGUACCCACUUCAUGAAGAACGUGCAGGUCCUCGCGUUUAUUUAUUCAACAAAUUCCUUCUGAGUCCUUGUUACAUGAGGCCCGCUAUGCUCGGCGAAGGGGACACAAUAGUGCAUGAACACAAACCCCAUCCUGGCCUUGCAGAGCUUGGUCUGCCUGGGGAGUUUGACUGAGGAAUUGGCAAUGCCGCAGGUGUAGCCCUCCAGAGGGCUAUGGUGGAGACAACUCAGAGAAGUCAGGGCAGUCAAGAGUUCUUGUUGUGGCUCAGUGGUUAACGAAUCUGACUAGGAAGCAUGAGGUUGCGGGUUCGAUCCCUGGCCUUGCUCAGUGGGUCAAGAAUCCAGCAUUGCCGUGAGCUGUGGUGUAGGCUGCAGACAUGGCUUGGAUCCUGCGUUGCUGUGGCUGCGUUGUGUAGGCCGGCGGCUGUAGCUCCAAUUGGAUCCCUAGCCUGGGAACAUCCAUAUGCCGUGGGAAGCGGCCCUGAAAAAGACCAAAAAAAAAAAGUCAGGGAAGGCUUCCUGGAGGAAAUAGCGGUGGAACCACCAUCAAGUGGGAGAGGAAGGAAAGAGCACAUGCAAAUGUCCUAGGGAGAAAGAUGGUGUGGCCGGGUGAUGCAUGGAUGAAGAUUGCUGGGGCUGGAGCCAAGGGGCUGGGGGUGGUGCCAUGUGGAGCCACCCAGACCCCCUUCAGGAGUGAAG